UACGUAGGUGGCAAGCGUUGUCCGGAAUUAUUGGGCGUAAAGCGCGCGCAGGCGGUCCUUUAAGUCUGAUGUGAAAGCCCACGGCUCAACCGUGGAAGGUCAUUGGAAACUGGAGGACUUGAGUACAGAAGAGGAAAGCGGAAUUCCACGUGUAGCGGUGAAAUGCGUAGAGAUGUGGAGGAACACCAGUGGCGAAGGCGGCUUUCUGGUCUGUAACUGACGCUGAGGCAUGAAAGCGUGGGGAGCAAACAGG
rnacentral:rRNA from 1 species